AUUAUAUCGAACCCGACAUAUGAUCAUGAACAUAACAAUAUAUCGAAGCAUCAUACAGAACCAAACGGUUUACACAUAGAAAUUAACGAUCCACAAGACCCCAUUUAUUAUACUGAAAACA
rnacentral:sRNA from 1 species